rnacentral:tRNA from 1 species
UGCCCGGAUGGUGAAAUUGGCAGACACGCUAGUUUCAGGUACUAGUGCUCGCAAGGGCUUGGGAGUUCAAGUCUCCCUCCGGGCAG